rnacentral:rRNA from 1 species
CCAAUAGCGUAUAUUAAAGUUGUUGCAGUUAAAAAGCUCGUAGUUGAAUUUCGGGAUCAGUACGCUGGUCGUGCCUUUGGUAUGUACUGGUGUCACUGAUUCCUCCCUUCUGAAGAACCGUUAUGCCAUUUAUUUGGUGUGGCGGGAAAUCAGGACUGUUACUUUGAAAAAAUUAGAGUGUUUAAAGCAGGCUCGCGCUUGAAUACAUUAGCAUGGAAUAAUGAAAUAGGACGUUUGAUCUUAUUUUGUUGGUUUCUAGGAUCGACGUAAUGAUUAAUAGGGAUAGUUGGGGGCAUUAGUAUUCAAUUGUCAGAGGUGAAAUUCUUGGAUUUAUUGAAGACUAACUACUGCGAAAGCAGUUGCCAAGGAUGUUUUCAUUAAUCAAGAACGAAAGUUAGGGGAUCGAAGACGAUCAGAUACCGUCGUAGUCUUAACCAUAAACUAUGCCGACUAGGGAUCGGAUGAUGUUAAUUUUUUAAUGACUCAUUCGGCGCCUUACG